rnacentral:rRNA from 1 species
CCACAAGCCCCGGGGGCCUUUUUUAGAUUUUUUGACUCGCUCAGGACGAACGCUGGCGGCGUGCCUAAUACAUGCAAGUCGAGCGGACAGAAGGGAGCUUGCUCCCGGAUGUUAGCGGCGGACGGGUGAGUAACACGUGGGUAACCUGCCUGUAAGACUGGGAUAACUCCGGGAAACCGGAGCUAAUACCGGAUAGUUCCUUGAACCGCAUGGUUCAAGGAUGAAAGACGGUUUCGGCUGUCACUUACAGAUGGACCCGCGGCGCAUUAGCUAGUUGGUGAGGUAACGGCUCACCAAGGCGACGAUGCGUAGCCGACCUGAGAGGGUGAUCGGCCACACUGGGACUGAGACACGGCCCAGACUCCUACGGGAGGCAGCAGUAGGGAAUCUUCCGCAAUGGACGAAAGUCUGACGGAGCAACGCCGCGUGAGUGAUGAAGGUUUUCGGAUCGUAAAGCUCUGUUGUUAGGGAAGAACAAGUGCAAGAGUAACUGCUUGCACCUUGACGGUACCUAACCAGAAAGCCACGGCUAACUACGUGCCAGCAGCCGCGGUAAUACGUAGGUGGCAAGCGUUGUCCGGAAUUAUUGGGCGUAAAGGGCUCGCAGGCGGUUUCUUAAGUCUGAUGUGAAAGCCCCCGGCUCAACCGGGGAGGGUCAUUGGAAACUGGGAAACUUGAGUGCAGAAGAGGAGAGUGGAAUUCCACGUGUAGCGGUGAAAUGCGUAGAGAUGUGGAGGAACACCAGUGGCGAAGGCGACUCUCUGGUCUGUAACUGACGCUGAGGAGCGAAAGCGUGGGGAGCGAACAGGAUUAGAUACCCUGGUAGUCCACGCCGUAAACGAUGAGUGCUAAGUGUUAGGGGGUUUCCGCCCCUUAGUGCUGCAGCUAACGCAUAAGCACUCCGCCUGGAGACUAAGCUUU